rnacentral:rRNA from 1 species
CCUACGGGGGGCAGCAGUCGAGAAUCAUUCACAAUGGGGGAAACCCUGAUGGUGCGACGCCGCGUGGGGGAAUGAAGGUCUUCGGAUUGUAAACCCCUGUCAUGUGGGAGCAAAUUAAAAAGAUAGUACCACAAGAGGAAGAGACGGCUAACUCUGUGCAAGCAGCCGCGGUAAUACAGAGGUCUCAAGCGUUGUUCGGAAUCACUGGGCGUAAAGCGUGCGUAGGCUGUUUCGUAAGUCGUGUGUGAAAGGCGCGGGCUCAACCCGCGGACGGCACAUGUUACUGCGAGACUAGAGUAAUGGAGGGGGAACCGGAAUUCUCGGUGUAGCAGUGAAAUGCGGAGAUAUCGAGAGGAACACUCGUGGCGAAGGCGGGUUCCUGGACAUUAACUGACGCUGAGGCACGAGGGCCAGGGGAGCGAAAGGGAUUAGAUACCCUAGUAGUC